rnacentral:rRNA from 1 species
AGUGAACGCUGGCGGUAGGCCUAACACACGCAAGUCGAACGGCAGCACAGAGGAGCUUGCUCCUUGGGUGGCGAGUGGCGGACGGGUGAGGAAUACAUCGGAAUCUACUCUGUCGUGGGGGAUAACGUAGGGAAACUUACGCCAAUACCGCAUACGACCUACGGGUGAAAGCAGGGGACCUUCGGGCCUUGCGCGAUUGAAUGAGCCGAUGUCGGAUUAACUAGUUGGCGGGGUAAAGGCCCACCAAGGCGACGAUCCGUAGCUGGUCUGAGAGGAUGAUCAGCCACACUGGAACUGAGACACGGUCCAGACUCCUACGGGAGGCAGCAGUGGGGAAUAUUGGACAAUGGGCGCAAGCCUGAUCCAGCCAUACCGCGUGGGUGAAGAAGGCCUUCGGGUUGUAAAGCCCUUUUGUUGGGAAAGAAAUCCAGCUGGCUAAUACCCGGUUGGGAUGACGGUACCCAAAGAAUAAGCACCGGCUAACUUCGUGCCAGCCGCCGCGGUAA